rnacentral:rRNA from 1 species
UGGCGGCGUGCUUACACAUGCAAGUCGAACGGUGAAGCCCUUCGGGGUGGAUCAGUGGCGAACGGGUGAGUAACACGUGGGCAAUCUGCCCUGCACUCUGGGACAAGCCCUGGAAACGGGGUCUAAUACCGGAUAUGACCUUCCUCCGCAUGGGGGUUGGUGUAAAGCUCCGGCGGUGCAGGAUGAGCCCGCGGCCUAUCAGCUUGUUGGUGGGGUAAUGGCCUACCAAGGCGACGACGGGUAGCCGGCCUGAGAGGGCGACCGGCCACACUGGGACUGAGACACGGCCCAGACUCCUACGGGAGGCAGCAGUGGGGAAUAUUGCACAAUGGGCGAAAGCCUGAUGCAGCGACGCCGCGUGAGGGAUGACGGCCUUCGGGUUGUAAACCUCUUUCAGCAGGGAAGAAGCGCAAGUGACGGUACCUGCAGAAGAAGCACCGGCUAACUACGUGCCAGCAGCCGCGGUAAUACGUAGGGUGCGAGCGUUGUCCGGAAUUAUUGGGCGUAAAGAGCUCGUAGGCGGCCUGUCACGUCGGAUGUGAAAGCCCGGGGCUUAACCCCGGGUCUGCAUUCGAUACGGGCAGGCUAGAGUGUGGUAGG